GAUGAACGCUGGCGGCGUGCCUAAUACAUGCCAGUCGAGCGAACGGACGAGAAGCUUGCUUCUCUGAUGUUAGCGGCGGACGGGUGAGUAACACGUGGAUAACCUACCUAUAAGACUGGGAUAACUUCGGGAAACCGGAGCUAAUACCGGAUAAGAGUUUGAACCGCAUGGUUCAAAAGUGAAAGACGGUCUUGCUGUCACUUAUAGAUGGAUCCGCGCUGCAUUAGCUAGUUGGUAAGGUAACGGCUUACCAAGGCAACGAUGCAUAGCCGACCUGAGAGGGUGAUCGGCCACACUGGAACUGAGACACGGUCCAGACUCCUACGGGAGGCAGCAGUAGGGAAUAUUCGGCAAUGGGCGAAAGCCUGACGGAGCAACGCCGCGUGAGUGAUGAAGGUCUUCGGAUCGUAAAACUCUGUUAUUAGGGAAGAACAUAUGUGUAAGUAAAUGUGCAUAUCUUGACGGUACCUACACAGAAAGCCACGGCUAACUACGUG
rnacentral:rRNA from 1 species